GCGAUCCCAGGUCAGGCGGGAUUACCCGCUGAGUUU
rnacentral:rRNA from 2 species